GCCUGGCUAGCUCAUUUGGUAGAGCAUGAGACCCUUAAUCUCAGGGUUGUGUGUUUGAGCCCCAAGUUGGGCA
rnacentral:tRNA from 1 species